rnacentral:rRNA from 1 species
GUAAUAUAUAGCUAACCUGCCCCUUAGAGAGGGACAACAGUUGGAAACGACUGCUAAUACCUCAUACUCCUUUUUAACAUAUGUUAGAUUGGGAAAUGCUCCGGCGCUAAGGGAUGGGGCUUUACGGUAUCAGGUAGUUGGUGGGGUAAAAGCCUACCAAGCCUAUGACGCCUAGCUGGUCUGAGAGGAUGACCAGCCACACUGGAACUGAGACACGGUCCAGACUCC